CGGCGGACGGGUGAGUAACGCGUGGGUAACCUGCCUCAUACAGGGGGAUAACAGUUGGAAACGACUGCUAAUACCGCAUAAGCGCACAGUACCGCAUGGUACCGUGUGAAAAACUCCGGUGGUAUGAGAUGGACCCGCGUCUGAUUAGCUAGUUGGUGGGGUAACGGCCUACCAAGGCGACGAUCAGUAGCCGACCUGAGAGGGUGACCGGCCACAUUGGGACUGAGACACGGCCCAA
rnacentral:rRNA from 1 species